UUCGUGUCUCUGGCGUGAUAAGCAAUUCUCCCUACAUAUUGGGGCUGGACUGUGAUAUGUACUGCAAUGAUCCAACUUCAGCUAGGCAAGCAAUGUGUUUCCACCUUGACCCAAAAAUCUCUUCGUCCUUAGCAUUCGUUCAGUUCCCUCAGAAAUUCCAUAAUAUCAAUAAGUAUGAUAUCUACGAUGGACGGUUUAGAUCUGCAUAUUGCGUAAGUAAAUUAAAGCCUAUCUACUAUCACCUUAUGCAGAUAAAUGAGCAAAUAUUAAACCACUAGAUGUAGCAAUUAUGUACAUAUAAGUUUUUGUUAUUUAUGCAUUCCACAAUCAAGGUACAAUGGCAAGGUAUGGAUGGGUUGAAGGGACCAGUCUUGUCUGGCACCGGCUAUUAUAUAAAGAGGGAGUCACUGUAUGCCGAUUUCACACAUACUGGUACCUUCAUUUGCCGACUUUCUUACAAAUUGAUGUUAAAAAUUUAAAAAUAAAUAGCAUUUCCACCCUUGAAGUCUUGUCUUUAUUGGAAAUCAUAAAAUUUUUAGCAUAAAACAUAGAAGUCAGCAAUCUAAAGUCCUAAAGAUGGUUGAAGAACACAGUUCAUUACUCGAUAGUAAUUUUUUAUUUUUUAUUUUUUUGGUUUAAUGAACAGUUAAUGACAUUUCAGAACUUAAAGACACUUUCGGAAAAUCCAAUGUGCUCAUCAAUUCUCUCCAUCAAAGCUACAAGCAAAACAAUGCCAAUGGUGAAAACUUUUCCAACGUUCUGCAAGAGGAGACUGGAGUUUUAGCCUCCUGCAGUUAUGAGCAUCAAACAAAAUGGGGUGAAGAGGCAAGCAUCAAGCAUAUCAACUUAUACAUAGUCAAACCUUAAUUGCAUUGCUAAAUCAUUAUCACAUAGCAUAACACAUUAUCUCUCCUUGCAUUUGAUAUCAGGUAGGCAUUUUGUAUCAAUCUGUUUCGGAAGAUUUAUUUACAGGAUUCAUUUUACACUGCAAAGGCUGGACCUCGACGUAUCUUACCCCAUUCAGGCCACAGUUUCUGGGUACUUCAACCACAAACUUGAAUGAUCUGCUGAUUCAAGGUACCAGAUGGGGCUCUGGGUUGACUGAUGUUGGUCUUUCGAGAUUCUGCCCUCUACUUUAUGGACCAUCAAGGAUGUCUUUACUUCAGAGCAUGUGCUAUGGAGAGCUAUCUUUCUUCCCUCUUCUUUAUUGCUUGCCUCUAUGGUGUCUUGCUACUCUUCCUCAGUUGUGUCUGUUAAAUGGCAUCUCUCUGUACCCUGAGGUAACAACUAAUAAUACUAGGAGUGCCUUCAAAAACAUUGAAAACUUACCUGCUGAACAAGUUGUUAAUAAUUUUAUAGACAAUAAAAUAGAUGUUAUGUUUUUUUUCUUUAUCCACAGGUUUCAAGCCCGUCUUUUAUCGUAUUUUCAUUCAUUUUCAUAUCAGCGAUUUGUAAACACUUGCAAGAGGUCAUUUCCACUGGAGGUUCAAUCUAUACAUGGAGAAAUGAGCAGAGAAUUUGGAUGAUAAAGUCUGUCACAGCUCAUUUCUAUGGAAGUAUGGAUACUAUUUUGAAACUUCUUGGCUUGAGGAAAGCCAGUUUCCUGCCAACCAACAAGGUUUUGGAUAAAGAACAAGUCAAAAGAUAUGAAAUAGGCCAAUUUGAUUUUCAAACAUCCUCUAUGUUUCUUGUUCCAAUGGUUUCUUUGAUGAUUCUGAACAUGGCAGCCUUGCUUUUUGGGUUUAUCAGAAUAAUUGCUGUGGGCAACUGGGACAAAUUAUUUGCGCAGGUGUUGCUCUCACUCUACAUCUUGAUCAUCAAUUUUGCAAUUGUUGAAGGGAUGAUAGUGAGAAAGGACAAGGGAAGGAUUUCAACAUCAGCCAUUUUAUUAUCAAGUGUAUUUUCCGUGAUUUUAUUGUUCUUUGGGUCUAUCAUUCUUAUGUAGCUAUAAGCAAAAUGUAGAGUGUUUCAUUUUAUCUUAAUUGCCACAGGCAAAGCAAAUAAAAUAAUUAAAUUUUUGUUUGGUAUUGAAGUGAGGUGCUGUAGAAAAAAAAAUUAUAAAUAUAAAAUAAAAGUUAAUAGUAUGUAAUAAAUAUAAUAUUUAAGUAAUAAUUUUGAUAAAUUUAGUAAAGAUAUAAUAAAUUUUUCAUUAUACAAGUAUAGAAUUAAUUUACUUUAGUUUUCAAGUAACAGUAAUUAUUUUUUGUCAAAUACUUUAAAAAUUACAGUUAUUCAACUUGAAUUUCAAAUAGAAUUAAAAUUUCGUUAAAAAAAUAAAAUAUUUUUGCAAUGAUAUUGAAACCUUGAAAUCUUAAACAUAACAAAGACUCGAGAGACAGUCCUAAGUGAUUCGGACAUGUCGUAUUGUUUUAUCAACAUCUACGCAAACUUUUCAACUUCGCUACUUAUUUCUCGCAGUACACGUUUACAAGAUUAAGCUCUUAAGUGAAACCUCCAUCAAUGCUCGGGCAGCAGCAGCACAAUCGCAUUUUGCUGAUACAUAGUUAAUACCUAACUAAGUAUUAACGGUCCACUACCACCAUGAAAAGAAGUUUUUACAAAUAUUUACAAGCAUGUAAAUUAAUAGUUAGAAGAUAAAUAAAAAAUUAUUUUAAAUUAUACGGCAUUCAUUAAUUGAUUGAAAAAAUAAUAAAAUUAAUUCACUUGAUUUUGUUAAGAAUUAUCAACAAUUUAUUUAGUGACAUAUUAUUGAAGAUAAAAUUUAAGAUAAAUAAUUUGAAAUUCUAUGAUUACUCUUACGAACAUAUAUAAGAUGUUUAUAUUUAAUUAUUGUAAUUGGGAAUCUCUUCAAUUAUUUAAUUAGCAAGAGAAUAAUUUAAGUCCGAACAUAAAAAUUGAAACUAAAAUAGUAUCAAAAAAAAUUUAAUGGGUUCAAAUAACUCCAUCCACUUUACUUUUUAUUUUUUAUUUUUAUUAUUUCAAGGAUAAGCAUAAUGCAUUUACUUUACCACUACCUGUACUAUUUUGGUAAAAUAUCAACUACCGUAACCAAUUUGAAGGAGAGUGAUUUGCACAGGACAGGUCAAAGUGGGAUCCUCCGUUAUUUAUUUAUUUAUAAUUUAGUUAGUCUCACUUCCCACUUUGAAACCCAUUAUUCUACGAAAUGAAAAGUUUCAUUGGAUGAGCAUAUCAUCUGAACAAGGCCUGUCUUGUACAAGUUUUUCUUACAUGUAAGCUCUGUUUGAAAGGUCAACGUACCUGAAGGCACCUCUGUCAGCAGCAGCCAGCAGCAAUCCAGUGAGUGGAAAGAUUUUUUUUUUGGAUGAGGUGAGCUUGCCGGCCAAGGAAAGCCAUAAAGUUUCCGCUCCUUAUUGACCAAGGAAAGCCAUCAGCUAGGAAGCAUCCUGUGAUUCUUAGUCAUUGUUCCAAUUAUUUAAAAGGAGAUGCUUCGAGCUUGAGAUAAAGCAAACACUUGCAACAAAGUUUAGAAAUGGAUAGCCCUCUUCCUCUCCAUGUAUGCCAUGUUAAUAAUCUUUCAGUGAUACUUAACAAGCUUCAUGCACUCUUGCACUGCAUAGCUAUAGCUUUCCUGAUCUACUAUAGAGCCUCUUAUCUCUUGCAAGAAACCAGAGCAAUAUCAAUUAUUCCAUGGCUUCUAGUCUUUGCCUCUGAGCUGCUUCUUUCUUUUAUAUGGCUCCUUGGCCGAGCUUAUCUCUGGCGUCCGGUUUCUCGGACUGUAUUCCCAGAAAGAUUGCCGGAAGAUGAUAAACUUCCGGCAAUCGAUGUGUUCAUAUGCACUGCAGAUCCAGAAAAGGAACCUACUUUUGGUGUGAUGAACACUGUGUUAUCAGCCAUGGCGCUGGAUUAUCCGGCGGACAAACUUCACGUUUAUUUAUCCGAUGAUGGGGGUUCUCCUAUAACUCUGCGUGGUAUGAGGGAAGCUUUCAGGUUUGCAAAAUGGUGGAUCCCCUUUUGUAGGAGAUAUCGAAUCAAGACAAUAUGCCCGCAGGCUUAUUUUUCUGAAGCAGAGAGUGAUGAAAAUUUUGGUGAUAGUGAGUUUGUGACAGAAAAAAGGAAGAUUAAGGUAAGAUGAAAUAAAUUUAAUUUUGUGCUAUUAUCUAAAAAUUCUUUUCGAGUGUUUUUUAUCGGCUUAUAACAAGAGUGCUGUAAGAUCUUACUUAAAUACAAUGUAAUCCGAAAGGGAAUGAGCAUAGAUAAUGCAUAAUGUGUUGCCAAUUUGGUAACAGGAAAAAUAUGAGAUGUUUGAGGAGCAAGUGAUGAAGGCUGUAGAAGAUGGAGAAUAUGGGAACAGCCGAAACCACUCGACUAUUAUUGAGGUAACUUUUUGUCAUACUCUGCCACUUACAAGUUUAAGUUACUUAAAUAACAUUCUAAUUCAAUUGGAUUCCAGCAGAUAAUACAGGACACUUCUGGUGAGAAUGAGACAAUUAGGCAAGCAGAUCUUGUUGAAAUGCCUCUGCUUGUUUAUGUUUCUCGUGAGAAAAGUCCUGAACAUCUUCAUCAUUUCAAGGGCGGAGCUCUCAAUGUUCUUGUAUGAAUCUCUAUACGCACUACCUAUAGAUUAUGCUUGUAUGUAUGGAGACUGCUCUGAUUAACAUUGUUCAAGCUUGCAGCUUCGUGUCUCUGGCGUAAUAAGCAAUUCCCCCUACAUACUGGGGCUUGACUGUGAUAUGUACUGCAAUGAUCCAACCUCAGCUAGGCAAGCAAUGUGUUUCCACCUUGACCCAAAAACCUCUUCGUCCUUGGCAUUCGUUCAGUUCCCUCAGAAAUUCCAUAAUUUCAAUGAGCAUGAUAUCUACGAUGGAUCACUGAGAUCUGGAUAUCGUGUAAGUAAAUUAAAGCCUCUCUCUGCAAUCAGCCUACGCAAAUAAAUGAGCAAAUAUAGAAGAAACUAGAUGUUGCAAUUAUGUUUCUAAAUGUUUUCUUUAUUUAUGCAUUCCACAUUCAAGUUAC
rnacentral:lncRNA from 1 species